UCCGGCGACCGGCGGACGGGUGCGUAACGCGUAUGUAACCUACCUUUGUACAGGGGGAGUAACAUCGAGAAAUUGGUACUAAUACCCCACUAACAUCACCGGAGGCAUCUUCGGUGGUUGAAAACUCAGGUGGUCAGAGAUGGACAUGCGUUGUAUUAGCUAGUUGGUGAGGUAACGGCUCACCAAGGCGACGAUACAUAGGGGGACGUGAGAGGUCAACCCCCCACCAUUGGUACUGAGACACGGACCAAACUCCUACGGAAGGCAGCAG
rnacentral:rRNA from 1 species